rnacentral:rRNA from 1 species
UGGGGAAUAUUGGACAAUGGGCGAAAGCCUGAUCCAGCCAUGCCGCGUGUGUGAAGAAGGUCUUCGGAUUGUAAAGCACUUUAAGCGAGGAGGAGGGUACUGGUAUUAAUACUACCAGGUACUGGACGUUACUCGCAGAAUAAGCACCGGCUAACUCUGUGCCAGCAGCCGCGGUAAUACAGAGGGUGCGAGCGUUAAUCGGAUUUACUGGGCGUAAAGCGUGCGUAGGCGGCUAAUUGAGUCGGAUGUGAAAUCCCCGAGCUUAACUUGGGAAUUGCAUUCGAUACUGGUUAGCUAGAGUGUGGGAGAGGAUGGUAGAAUUCCAGGUGUAGCGGUGAAAUGCGUAGAGAUCUGGAGGAAUACCGAUGGCGAAGGCAGCCAUCUGGCCUAACACUGACGCUGAGGUACGAAAGCAUGGGGAGCAAACAGG